AGCGCCUAAAGUUAAAAACUUUUAAACCCUUUUUUCUCUCUCUCGUUAAUUUGUUUCUGUGGUUCCGGUCACCGCAGCUCUGUCAUCAUCUUCUCUCUUCUCCAUCUACUAAUCUCAAACCUACAAAAUCUCGAACUGUAGAUCUUAUUACCAAAAGGGUUAUCGUACAUCGUCUUGUCCUAAGUUUCUGAGUACAGUUGUAAUUGAAAGAUUCGUUUUUUUUUUCCUUUUCAAAAAUUUGUCUAGUCUGUGUAUGUGAAGUCAGAUUCAGUUGUAAAGUCGAAAGGACCCGACUUUAUCGGAGCUCCGGUUCUCAAGAGUAAUUCAAAUGGCCGCGCCAGAGAGAUCGAUAGACCAAGAAGUCGACACGAGUUCUUCCUUCUUACAAAAGUUCAGACUUUACGAAACACGCUCGAACUUCUACAUGAUCGGAAGAGAUAAAAACCGAACCUUUUGGAAGGUUCUCAAGCUAGACAGAACAGAGCCCACAGAGCUCAACUUUCACCAAGACUCAACUCCUUACACAGAAUCCGAAUGCUUCGAGACUCUGAGGAGGAUACACGAAGGGAACAGAUCAGCCGGUGGGUUAAAAUUCGUCACCACUUGCUACGGGAUCAUCGGAUUCAUAAGGUUCUUGGGACCUUACUACAUGCUGAUAAUCACUAAAAGAAGGAAGCUUGGUGAAGUUUGUGGGCAUACUGUUUAUGGUGUAGCAAAGAGCAGGAUUGUUACGAUUCCACAUGCUUCUGUUCUAUCCAGUGUGGCUUAUUCUAAGGAUGAGAAAAGGUACAAGAGGCUUCUCUGCACAGUUGAUCUCACAAAGGACUUCUUCUUCAGCUAUUCCUAUCAUAUCAUGCACUCACUUCAGAGGAAUAUGUCAAACAAUGCUGAAGGACACACUUACUAUGAAUCUAUGUUUGUCUGGAACGAAUACUUAACUCGACGGAUUCGAAACAAUGGUAGGGAUUGUAUGUGGACAGUUGCCUUGGUGUAUGGAUUCUUCAAACAGGUUAAACUAUCAGUUUCCGAGAAGAACUUUAGAUUGACUCUAAUUGCUCGCCGAUCUAGGCAUUAUGCUGGCACAAGAUACCUGAAACGUGGUGUGAACGAGAAAGGCAGGGUAGCUAAUGAUGUUGAGACAGAGCAGAUUGUUUACGAGGAACCUCAAGAUGGCCGUCCCGUCAGAAUAAGUUCUGUAGUUCAGAACCGUGGCUCCAUACCUUUGUUCUGGUCUCAGGAGACUUCACGCUUGAAUAUCAAACCUGAUAUAACAUUGUCAGCGAAAGACCCUAACUUCGAAGCAACCAGACUACACUUCGAAAAUCUAGCAAAGAGAUAUGGGAAUCCAAUCAUAGUACUCAACUUGAUCAAGACACGUGAAAAGAGGCCUAGAGAGACUAUUCUCCGUGUAGAGUUCGCAAAUGCAAUUAAGUUUAUAAACAAAGGUCUAAGCAAGGAGGAGCGUCUAAGGCCUCUUCACUGGGAUUUGCAUAAACACUCCAGAAAAAAAGGCACAAACGUGUUGGGGAUUCUCGGCAGGUUGGCUACGUAUGCACUGAACUUGACUGGCAUCUUCUACUGUCAGCUAACUUCAGAUGGGUUUCAGAACCAGAAUCCAUCCACCGUGGAGAACAAUAUUGGUGAAUGUUCUACUUAUGAUCUUCCCACUAAAGAUGAGAUUGCAUCAGACUCAGCGGUGGAAAAUGGUAAUGACAGCAAGGAUCGGCAAAAGGAAGCCACCAUGUUUCAGAAAGGAGUCUUGAGGACUAACUGCAUAGACUGUUUAGACCGCACCAAUGUUGCUCAGUACGCUUACGGUUUGGUAGCAUUCGGGCGUCAGCUCCAUGCUUUGGGAUUGACAGAGUCUGAUACUAUUGAUCUAGAUAAUCCUCUCGCUGAAGAUUUGAUGGGAGUUUAUGAGACAAUGGGCGAUACUCUUGCGCUUCAGUAUGGAGGAUCAGCUGCACACAACAAGAUAUUUUGUGAAAGGCGUGGUCAGUGGAAAGCGGCUACUCAGUCACAAGAACUAUUCAGAACAUUGCAACGUUACUAUAGUAACGCUUAUAUGGAUGCUGAAAAGCAAGAUGCAAUUAACUUGUUCUUGGGAUACUUUCAGCCACAACCAGAUAAGCCAGCGUUAUGGGAAUUAGGUUCUGAUCAGCAUUACAAUGCAGCAAGGUUUCUUGCCAGUUCUGUACCUGAGAUCUCAAGGUCUACGAUGAAACGAUCUUUAUCAGAAAGUAGCAUCCUUAGCGAGGGCAGUAGUACAGUAGCUGGUAGACAUGGUUUAGGUGAGAAGGAUGAAGAAGUUAAAGGUCUUUCAGAUUCAGCACCUGAGAUCAUCUCAACUUCUAAAACUACUGCCAUGAUUGCUGGUAGUUUCAGUGCUCCACCACCGAUACUGGAGGAUAUAGGUUUAGACGAGAUACUUGAAAACGAUUGCUUCUGCUAUAAUGAUGAUAGGGAUGGUGGUGACCAGUGUACGUGUGCAGCUUUUGAUAUGGAUUGGGUUUCUUCUUCAGGAGCCUCUUGUGAAGAUGAGAGUUUGACGCAGUCGGAAAUCACUAAGAUCAACAUUGGUUAGAUCUUUUGAAACCAUCCCUGAAAGUACAAAACUAGAGUCAGAGAUUUGUGUCAUUAACACAAAGAGAGAUGAAGUAACAACUAUGGAGGGAGAAGUCAUUAGUGGGAUUCCUCAAGGUUAUGUGAGGUGGGUGAUGGAUGAAGAAGAGGGACAUUUCUGGUGAGACGAGAGCUACAUUGUUUUUACCAAACAAAAGAAAAUAAGAAGAUACAUGUUAGUGCUGGUGAAUAAAGAAAAGUAUCAGAGAAGGGAUAUACUAACCGCUGCUAAUUCAUUAAUCAGAUUUGGAAGAAAAAUGGUGAAAAGGUGUGAAAGAAAUGAAAGAAAAGAGAGAGUAGACAAACUUGUAUAUAAUUUACUUAUACAGAAAAACAUAACUUAGAUCUUGUUGGAUAUAUCUUUGUGACAUUUUCAUUUUUUGGAGUUUGGAUUUGAAUCCCGAAUGCAAUAAAACAGAGUAUGUUCAGUACUCUUCCACCGUUA